rnacentral:rRNA from 1 species
GGCUCAGGAUGAACGCUGGCGGCGUGCUUAAUACAUGCAAGUCGAACGAAGCACUUUGACAGAUCCCCGUCGGGGUGAAGAUGAUUGUGACUUAGUGGCGGACGGGUGAGUAACGCGUGGGGAACCUGCCUCGUGCUGGGGGGAUAACAGUUAGAAAUGACUGCUAAUACCGCAUAAGCGCACAGUAAGGCAUCUUACAGUGUGAAAAGAUUUAUCGGCAUGAGAUGGACCCGCGUCUGAUUAGGUAGUUGGCGGGGUAACGGCCCACCAAGCCCGCGAUCAGUAGCCGACUUGAGAGAGUGAUCGGCCACAUUGGGACUGAGACACGGCCCAGACUCCUACGGGAGGCAGCAGUAGGGAAUAUUGCACAAUGGGGGAAACCCUGAUGCAAGCGACGCCGCGUGAGUGAUGAAGUAUUUCGGUAACGUAAAACUCUAUCAGCAGGGAAGAUAAUGACGGUACCUGACUAAGAAGCCCCGGCUAACUACGUGCCAGCCGCAGC